rnacentral:lncRNA from 11 species
CACUAAGGCAGCCUUUUUGACUUGACUUUCAGCUUUGCUUCCUUGCACUGAAUAUGAAACUGACUUUGGCAGCCUUCUGAGAUUCACAAAAUUAAAAUGAAAAAGUAUGGGCUACAUUUCCUCAAGGUUUCCAAAUGCAUUAGAAUUACCCAAAGAACCGGAUGAACAGAUUCAUCACCAUUGAUCAAAACCGACUUUGAGGAUGUCCUUCAGGUGCGUCAGUUGGUGAUUUGAAACAAGUGC